rnacentral:rRNA from 1 species
AUGAGCUCGAGUAUGCAGGAAGGGAUGACAAGCAGUUUAGCUCAAGGAUCCUCUCGAGGGAGCGUCGUGGCCGCCGGGGCGUCCUUCAGGGUGUACUACAGCCUCGGCGCCGGCACCGUGCCGUUCGUCUGGGAGACCAAGCCCGGCACGCCCAAGCGCCCCAUCGACCAUGUCGCUGGCACCGACGACGCGCUACCGCCGAUCACACCACCGCCGUUGUACCAGUCCAAGACCAUGAGGAGGUGCCCGAGCACAACGAAGUCAUCUUCUUGCUGGCCUCCCCGGAUGACGAGCUGGCUAAACAUCAGGACCCGACGUCGUCGUCCAAUCGCGACACCCGGCUUCCACCAGACCGCGGCGUCGAUGAUCAACGGCUACGGUAGCGGCGUGCCAUCCUUGGGUGCUUCUGAGCCCGGCAUGGACAAUUAG